UACGGGGGGGGCAAGCGUUGUUCGGAAUUACUGGGCGUAAAGGGUUUGUAGGUGGCUUGUUAAGUCAGACGUGAAAUCCCUCAGCUUAACUGGGGAACUGCGUCUGAUACUGGCGAGCUUGAGUGCAGGAGAGGAACGCGGAAUUCCAGGUGUAGCGGUGAAAUGCGUAGAUAUCAGGAGGAACACCGGUGGCGAAGGCGGCUUUCUGGACAGAAACUGACGCUGAUGCGCGAAAGCUAGGGGAGCAAACAGG
rnacentral:rRNA from 1 species